rnacentral:rRNA from 1 species
UACGUAGGGUGCAAGCGUUAAUCGGAAUUACUGGGCGUAAAGCGUGCGCAGGCGGCGAUGUAAGACAGUUGUGAAAUCCCCGGGCUCAACCUGGGAACUGCAUUUGUGACUGCAUCGCUGGAGUGCGGCAGAGGGGGAUGGAAUUCCGCGUGUAGCAGUGAAAUGCGUAGAUAUGCGGAGGAACACCGAUGGCGAAGGCAAUCCCCUGGGCCUGCACUGACGCUCAUGCACGAAAGCGUGGGGAGCAAACAGG